ensembl:snoRNA
UGAAUUUUUUUUAAAAAAAAAAUGAUGUUCAACUGCUCUCAAUGGGCUGAAUGAAAAUGGCCUUUCUGAACGUCC